AUUGAACGCUGGCGGCAGGCCUAACACAUGCAAGUCGCACGCGUGUCGGACGGGUGAGUAAUGUCUGGGAAACUGCCUGAUGGAGGGGGAUAACUAAUGUAAACGGUAGCUAAUACCGCCUACCAUCGGAUGUGCCCAGAUGGGAUUAGCUAGUAGGUGGGGUAAAGGCUCACUUAGGCGACGAUCCAUAGCUGGUCUGAGAGGAUGACCAGCCACACUGGCACUGAGACACGGUCCAGACUCAUACGUGAGGUAGCAGUGGGGAAUAUUGCACAAUGGGCGCAAGCCAGAUGCAGCCAGGCCGCGGGUAUGAAGAAGGCCUUCGGGUUGUAAAGUACUUUCAGCGGGGAGGCGUUACCAGCAGAAGAAGCACCUGAUAACUCCGUGCCAGCCGCCGCGGUAAUUC
rnacentral:rRNA from 1 species